AGGUCAAGGAGGAUCUGCAAAGGCAGAAGGCUAUGUAUGAGGCUCAGCUCGAAUCUCUCCGCGACUCCCACCGAGCUCAGGUCGAGAACUUGGAGAGGGAGGCUGACCACCAGUACGACCAGGGACUUCGGCAUUCCUAUCGUUGCAUCAUGGCCGUCCUUGGGAAGCAACACCCUGAUCUGAAGAUGGACGACCUCGCAGCUGGUGUUGCUCAACAUAUGGACGAGGAGGCGGCCAAGGAAGAUGCCGAUGGGGUAGAGCCGAUCGUGGUCGAGGAGGAAGACUCUCCUCCUCGUGCAGUCCCUGCUGAUGUUGGCGAGGCGAGCACCCCCCCGAAACGGGUCGAGGCUGUACUAGCCAAUUCCUGCUCGAGCCGAGAACUGUUAACUACAUACAACUUGCUCGAGUCUCGCUUGAUACUUCCUGGCCAUAGGAUGGAGGACGCUGUGAUUGGGGCUCUGACCCAAAAACGUUCCCGACCUCCAACCACGAAGAGAGACCAGAGUAAGGAUGCCCCUACUGCAAAGCGGGCCAACAUCGUGCAGCAGGUCCCACCCUUGAAGAUUUUACCUCCUGCUCCUGUAAAAGUCGGGGAAGCUAGUGGAGCAGCCACAUAUCCUGCUUCCUCUUCUCCUCCUGUCGGGCCUCGAUCUCGCUUACCUGACUGCCGAGCAGAACACCUGGUCCCUUACCUCAAUGAGUUAACUAAACUCGUGAGCAAGAAGGACUUGGAGGACUUUGAUGGCCGCACCUUGGGUGAGCUGGUGGGGGCCAUGCAGCAUAGCGCUUUCCACCUCAGCUGCAUGACCACCUAUUACAAGGCUAAGGUUGGCCGCUACGACCGGAAGAUGAAGGAGGAUAUUCAAUCGGCGACGACCAGAGCUGACGUUGCCGAGAAGAAAGCAGGGGAGCUGAAUCUCGAGAAUCUGAAGCUGAUAGAGCAAGAAUCACUUGCUCAGGCAAAAGCCAUUUCCCUCGAGGAGGAGCUUACUAAGGUCAAGGAGGAUCUGCAAAGGCAGAAGGCUAUGUAUGAGGCUCAGCUCGAAUCUCUCCGCGACUCCCACCGAGCUCAGGUCGAGAACUUGGAGAGGGAGGCUGACCACCAGUACGACCAGGGACUUCGGCAUUCCUAUCGUUGCAUCAUGGCCGUCCUUGUGAAGCAACACCCUGAUCUGAAGAUGGACGACCUUGCAGCUGGUGUUGCUCAACAUAUGGACGAGGAGGCGGCCAAGGAAGAUGCCGAUGGGGUAGAGCCGAUCGUGGUCGAGGAGGAAGACUCUCCUCCUCGUGCAGUCCCUGCUGAUGUUGGCGAGGCGAGCACCCCCCCGGACGCAACUGGUGAUACCCCUCCUGCACCCGUGGAGG
rnacentral:lncRNA from 1 species